rnacentral:rRNA from 1 species
AGCAGCCGCGGUAAUUCCAGCUCCAAUAGCGUAUAUUAAAGUUGUUGCAGUUAAAAAAGCUCGUAGUUGAAUUUCGGGAUUGACACAUCGGUCGUGCCUUAAGGGGUGUGAACUGGUGUAGUCAAUUUCUCACCUUCUGGAGAACCGCGAUGUCCUUAAUUGGGUGCCGCGAGGAACCAGGACCUUUACUUUGAAAAAAUUAGAGUGUUUAAAGCAGGCAUUUUUGCUUGAAUACAUUAGCAUGGAAUAAUAAAAUAGGACGGCAUGAUUCUAUUUUGUUGGUUUCUAGGAUCACCGUAAUGAUUAAUAGGGAUAGUUGGGGGCAUUAGUAUUCAAUUGUCAGAGGUGAAAUUCUUGGAUUUAUUGAAGACUAACUACUGCGAAAGCAUUUGCCAAGGAUGUUUUCAUUAAUCAAGAACGAAAGUUAGGGGAUCGAAGACGAUCAGAUACCGUCGUAGUCUUAACCAUAAACUAUAGCCGACUAGGAAUCAGACGAUGUUAAUUUUUAAUGACUCGUUUG